CGCUACACCGACCGAGCCAACCUGCCGAUCCGGUCCGGUCCGGUCCGGCCCAUCUCUUCCCCUGGCCCUCCUCCUCAGCCGCGGCCAGCUCCCUCUCUCUCUCCCACCGGCGGCGCAGGUUGGUCGGCAGGUAGCGGCCGGCGGCGGCGGAGGCGAGAUGAGGGUCGGCGUCGGCGGGAGCGCGGGCGUGGUGUUCUACGCGGACAAGUACCACCCGAUCCAGGCGGGCAGCAUCGACGGCACGGACGUCGCCCCCCACGACAACGCCGUCCUCCGCGCCCUCCUCUGCUCCACCGCCGGCCUCUAUGAUCCGUUCGGGGACCCCAAGGCCGCCGGCGACCCCUACUGCACGGUCUUCGUCGGGCACCUCUCCCGCCUCACCGACGACGACACGGUCCGGAAGGCCAUGGGCAGGUACGGGAAAGUGAAGAGCAUGCGGCUGGUGCGGGAUAUUGUUACUGGUGCUUCCCGCGGUUAUGCGUUUGUAGAGUAUGAAACAGACAAAGAGAUGCACCGUGCCUAUGAGGAUGCACACCAUUCCAUUAUUGAUGGCAGUGAAGUGAUCGUAGACUACUAUAGGCAGCAACUUAUGCCUGGAUGGAUACCAAGGAGGCUAGGAGGAGGACUUGGAGGAAAGAAGGAGUCUGGCCAGCUUCGAUUUGGAGGUCGAGAGAGGCCAUUUCGUGCUCCCUUGCGGCCUAUUCCUCAUGAUGAACUCAAAAAGCUCGGGAUCCCACCGCCGCCUGAGGGGCGGUAUAUGACACGUUUUGAGGUUCCCCCACCACCUAGACGAAAAGGAGGCAAUGUUGACAGGGAAGAGUCGCCACCUCCUAGGAGAAUAUCCAAGGACAGGGCUGAUGGCACCUACAGAAGGCAGAGAAGUCCAACUGAAGACGAAGGCAGCCCGCGCAGGCGCAAAAGUAGCCAUGACCACAGGGAAGAUACGCAAAGGAGGAUAAGGUCAUCUAGGGAGGCAAGCACCUACAGCAGGCAGAGAAGCCCAACUGGAGACGGCGGCGACCAUCACAAGCAAAAAAGCCACCGAGAGCAGGGCGAUAUCAGCAGCUAUGAUAGGCAUGUAAGCCCAGCCGAAGACGACGGCGGUCAUCACCGCAAGCGAAGAAGAAGCCGAGAGCCUGGGGAUAUCAGGAGGAGCCACAGUGGGCGGAGAAGCCCAACUGAAGACGACGCAGGUCGCCGCAAGCGAAGAAAAAGCCGAGAGCCUGGAGAUAGCAGCAGACACAGCAGGCACAGAAGCCCAGCUGAAGACAACAACAGCGGUCAUCGCAAGCAGAGGAGGAGCCGAGAGCCAGGAGAGGUGUCGCCUGGCACGGAGGAUGGCAGUGUCAGAAGAGGAGGAACCUCCACCGAGGCCUGCCCCAGCCCGCGUCGACGAUCUCAUCGGGAGCAGAGGUAGCAUCACGGCGGCAGCAGCCGUUCCCGCCACGGCGACCAUGCUCGCUCCAGGAGAUCCGAGAGCCGAGAUUAUAGCCAGUAAGAUGUCUGCCAUUUCCGUUCUGUGAAAAACUUGUGGAUCCCUGGCCUACGUGCUGCUCGCUUGAUUUGAUGAGGUUUGUCGCCGUCAUGUGUAGGCUCUGUUCCGUUGUUGGGUGUUUGUCUUGCCAGGCGACACCGCCCGCCGUAUGUGUAGGAUCCACAGUUGGUUCCUGAGCAGUUGGGAUAGUUGUAAUUCUAGCUCUGGUAAUUCAGGUUGGAUCCCUGGCUCUGGCUGUAAGUAUAGCGUGCAAUGCAAUUUUAUGAAACGAUCUUGGUAUAGACGUUGCUUGAAU
rnacentral:rRNA from 1 species